GAGUUUGAUCCUGGCUCAGAACGAACGCUGGCGGCGUGCCUAACACAUGCAAGUCCAACGUGAAAGGGGAGCAAUCCCCCGGUAGGGUGGCAAACGAGUGAGUAAUACAUGGGUGAUCUACCUUAGGGAUGGGGAUAUCCUUCCGAAAGGAGGGGCAAUACCGAAUAUUGUCCGGAGCCGUGAAGGGUUCCGGGGAAAGGGAGGCCUCUGAUACAAGCUUUCGCCUUAAGAUGAGCCCAUGGCCCAUCAGCUAGUUGGUAGGGUAAAGGCCUACCAAGGCUACGACGGGUCGCUGGUCUGAGAGGACGACCAGCCACACUGGCACUGAGAUACGGGCCAGACUCCUACGGGAGGCAGCAGUGAGGAAUAUUGCGCAAUGGGGGAAACCCUGACGCAGCAACGCCGCGUGUGGGAAGAAGGCCUUCGGGUCGUAAACCACUUUUGCACGGGACGAAAAAGGGAUAUCGAACAAAUAUCCCCGAUGACGGUACCGUGAGAAUAAGCCACGGCUAACUCUGUGCCAGCAGCCGCGGUAAGACAGAGGUGGCAAGCGUUGUUCGGAAUUACUGGGCGUAAAGAGUCUGUAGGUGGUUUGUCAAGUCUUUGGUGAAAGGCCGUAGCUUAACUAUGGGAAUGCCAAAGAGACUGGCAGGCUGGAGGCUGGGAGAGGGAAGCGGAAUUUCUGGUGUAGCGGUGAAAUGCGUAGAUAUCAGAAGGAAGGCCGGUGGCGAAGGCGGCUUCCUGGAACAGUCCUGACA
rnacentral:rRNA from 1 species